UCCCUGGAGGACUAGUGGUUAGGCUCUCACUGCUCUCAUCGCUGUGGCCUGGGUUCGAUUCCUGGCCAGGGAA
rnacentral:tRNA from 1 species